UACGUAGGGUGCGAGCGUUGUCCGGAAUUAUUGGGCGUAAAGAGCUCGUAGGCGGUGUGUCACGUCGGCCGUGAAAACCUGCAGCUUAACUGUGGGCGUGCGGUCGAUACGGGCAUCACUGGAGUUCGGCAGGGGAGACUGGAAUUCCUGGUGUAGCGGUGAAAUGCGCAGAUAUCAGGAGGAACACCGGUGGCGAAGGCGGCAUCCUGGACCGGCAUUGACGCUGAAUAGCGAAAGCCAGGGGAGCAAACGGG
rnacentral:rRNA from 1 species